UGGAAGCUUAGAUGCCCAUGUGUAC
rnacentral:piRNA from 1 species